GAGUUUGAUCCUGGCUCAGAAUCAACGCUGGCGGCGUGCCUAACACAUGCAAGUCGAACGCGAAAGCCCCGCAAGGGGUAAGUAGAGUGGCAAACGGGUGAGUAACACGUGGGUGACCUGCCUUCGAGUGGGGGAUAACGUCCCGAAAGGGACGCUAAUACCGCAUGACAUCCUGCCUUUGAACAGGCGGUGAUCAAAGCUGGGGAUCGCAAGACCUAGCGCUCAAAGAGGGGCCCGCGCCUGAUUAGCUAGUUGGUGGGGUAAUGGCUCACCAAGGCAACGAUCAGUAUCCGGCCUGAGAGGGCGGACGGACACACUGGGACUGAGACACGGCCCAGACUCCUACGGGAGGCAGCAGUGGGGAAUUGUUCGCAAUGGGCGCAAGCCUGACGACGCAACGCCGCGUGGAGGAUGAAGAUCUUCGGGUCGUAAACUCCUUUCGAUCGAGACGAACGACUUCCGGAUGGAU
rnacentral:rRNA from 1 species